rnacentral:rRNA from 1 species
UACGUAGGUGGCAAGCGUUGUCCGGAUUUACUGGGCGUAAAGAGCGCGCAGGCGGUCGAAUAAGUCGAAUGUGAAAGCCCCCGGCUCAACUGGGGAGGGUCAUUCGAUACUGCUCGACUUGAAGGCAGGAGAGGGUAGUGGAAUUCCCGGUGUAGUGGUGAAAUGCGUAGAUAUCGGGAGGAACACCAGUGGCGAAGGCGACUACCUGGCCUGUUCUUGACGCUGAGGCGCGAAAGCUGGGGGAGCAAACGGGG